rnacentral:pre_miRNA from 1 species
UAUGUACUCCCUUCGUCCGAAAUUACUUGUCGUGAAAAUGGAUGUAUCUAAAACUAAAAUACGUCUAGAUACAUUCAUUUCCCCGACAAGUAUUUCUGGACGGAGGGAGUAUAAG